UACGUAGGGCGCAAGCGUUGUCCGGAAUUAUUGGGCGUAAAGAGCUCGUAGGCGGUUUGUCGCGUCUGCUGUGAAAACCCGAGGCUCAACCUCGGGCCUGCAGUGGGUACGGGCAGACUAGAGUGCGGUAGGGGAGAUUGGAAUUCCUGGUGUAGUGGUGGAAUGCGUAGAUAUCGGGAGGAACACCAGUGGCGAAGGCGGUUGCCUGGGGCUUUGCUGACGCUGAUGCGCGGAAAGCGUGGGGAGCGAUCCGG
rnacentral:rRNA from 1 species